UGGUAAUGCCGGAUGCUCCAGUUGAUCGCAUGGUCUUCUGGGAAAGCCUUUGCGGCAUGGGAUGGGGUCGCGUCCUAUCAGCUUGAUGGCGGGGUAACGGCCCACCAUGGCUUCGACGGGUAGCCGGCCUGAGAGGGCGACCGGCCACAUUGGGACUGAGAUACGGCCCAGACUCCUACGGGAGGCAGCAGUGGGGAAUAUUGCACAAUGGGCGCAAGCCUGAUGCAGCGACGCCGCGUGAGGGAUGGAGGCCUUCGGGUUGUAAACCUCUUUUGUUAGGGAGCAAGGCAUUUUGUGUUGAGUGUACCUUUCGAAUAAGCACCGGCUAACUACGUGCCAGCAGCCGCGGUAAUACGUAGGGUGCAAGCGUUAUCCGGAAUUAUUGGGCGUAAAGGGCUCGUAGGCGGUUCGUCGCGUCCGGUGUGAAAGUCCAUCGCUUAACGGUGGAUCCGCGCCGGGUACGGGCGGGCUUGAGUGCGGUAGGGGAGACUGGAAUUCCCGGUGUAACGGUGGAAUGUGUAGAUAUCGGGAAAGAACACCA
rnacentral:rRNA from 1 species